GACGAACGCUGGCGGCGUGCUUAACACAUGCAAGUCGAAGAUAGUGGCGAACGGGUGAGUAAUACGUGGGAACCUACCCAUCAGAGGGGGAUAACACUUGGAAACAGGUGCUAAUACCGCAUACUGAUGGAUGGACCCGCGGUGCAUUAGCUAGUUGGUGGGGUAAAGGCCUACCAAGGCGACGAUCCGUAACUGGUCUGAGAGGAUGAUCAGUCACACUGGAACUGAGACACGGUCCAGACUCCUACGGGAGGCAGCAGUGGGGAAUAUUGGACAAUGGGCGAAAGCCUGAUCCAGCCAUGCCGCGUGUGUGAAGAAGGUCUUCGGAUUGUAAAGCACUUUAAGUUGGGAGGCGUUACCAACAGAAUAAGCACCGGCUAACUUCGUGCCAGCAGCCGCGGUAAUAC
rnacentral:rRNA from 1 species